GCCAUGUGGCGUAGUGGGUAAGGAGAUGGGCUCGUAACUCAAAGGUUGUGGGUUCAAUUCCUGGGUGGUG